GACGAACGCUGGCGGCGUGCUUAACACAUGCAAGUCGAACGAAGUGGCGAACGGGUGAGUAACGCGUAAUCAACCUGCCCUUCAGAGGGGGACAACAGUUGGAAACGACUGCUAAUACCGCAUACUGAAGGAGGGGAUUGCGUCUGCUUAACUAGUCGGAGGGGUCACGGCCCACCAAGGCGAUGAUCAGUCGACUGGCAGAGUGGAUGGACGGCCAACUUGGGACUGAGACACGGUCCAGACUCCUACGGGAGGCAGCAGUGGGGAAUCUUCCGGAAUGGACGAAAGUCUGACGGAGCAACGCCGCCGGAGUGAUGACGGCCUUCGGGUUGUAAAGCUCUGUUAAUCGGGACGCGGUACCGGAAUAGAAAGCCACGGCUAACUACGUGCCAGCAGCCGCGGUAAUUC
rnacentral:rRNA from 1 species